rnacentral:rRNA from 1 species
AGUCGAGCGGUAGAGAGAAGCUUGCUUCUCUUGAGAGCGGCGGACGGGUGAGUAAUGCCUAGGAAUCUGCCUGGUAGUGGGGGAUAACGCUCGGAAACGGACGCUAAUACCGCAUACGUCCUACGGGAGAAAGCAGGGGACCUUCGGGCCUUGCGCUAUCAGAUGAGCCUAGGUCGGAUUAGCUAGUUGGUGAGGUAAUGGCUCACCAAGGCGACGAUCCGUAACUGGUCUGAGAGGAUGAUCAGUCACACUGGAACUGAGACACGGUCCAGACUCCUACGGGAGGCAGCAGUGGGGAAUAUUGGACAAUGGGCGAAAGCCUGAUCCAGCCAUGCCGCGUGUGUGAAGAAGGUCUUCGGAUUGUAAAGCACUUUAAGUUGGGAGGAAGGGCAUUAACCUAAUACGUUAGUGUUUUGACGUUACCGACAGAAUAAGCACCGGCUAACUCUGUGCCAGCAGCCGCGGUAAUACAGAGGGUGCAAGCGUUAAUCGGAAUUACUGGGCGUAAAGCGCGCGUAGGUGGUUUGUUAAGUUGAAUGUGAAAUCCCCGGGCUCAACCUGGGAACUGCAUCCAAAACUGGCAAGCUAGAGUAUGGUAGAGGGUGGUGGAAUUUCCUGUGUAGCGGUGAAAUGCGUAGAUAUAGGAAGGAACACCAGUGGCGAAGGCGACCACCUGGACUGAUACUGACACUGAGGUG